GACGGAGGGCGCGAGCGUUAUCCGGAAUCAUUGGGUUUAAAGGGUCCGUAGGCGGGAUAAUAAGUCAGCGGUGAAAGUCUGUGGCUCAACCAUAGAAUUGCCAUUGAUACUGUUGUUCUUGAGUGCUUAUGAAGUGGUUAGAAUAUGUAGUGUAGCGGUGAAAUGCAUAGAUAUUACAUAGAAUACCGAUUGCGAAGGCAGAUCACUAAUAAUAUAUUGACGCUGAUGGACGAAAGCGUAGGUAGCGAACAGG
rnacentral:misc_RNA from 1 species